rnacentral:misc_RNA from 1 species
AUGCUCCCAUUUCUUGCUCCAUUUUGUUUUCGGUGAGCAAGAUAGGGUGCAUUUUACAGCAAAUUUGUUGAGUUUUUUAAAGAGUUUUUGCAAUGUCAGUUUCAUGAUUUCAAAAUUGCAAGAUCUGAUAUGAAAUCUUUUAAUACAGUGUAUUAGUUCAGAUGCCAAAAUAUUUUGAAUUUUGGAGCGAAAGAGUACCUCCUUUGUUUUAUAUCGCCUGGUUAUCAUAUCAAAUUGGUUGUGUUCAUUUGAAUGUGUUUUGAACAUGUGUUUGAAGAAAGAAAAAAAACUUUGGCAUUUGAGAUUAGAUAUUUCCUGUGUGGAGGAUGCAAAAAAAAAAAUAUAAUAGUGCAAUAUUUCCAUUCAUCAAUGACAGGUGCUGUUUCAUAGUUGUGAAUAUUGUUUUUCAUGCGCCAUGAAGUAUUACAUGUUUAUCCCAUGUAUUAAUAUUAUAUAUUGUCUAUAUAUGAUUUCAUCUAUGUAAAAAAAAAACCCAGACAUUUCAUUGUAUAUAUCUUAAGAUUUCAUCACAAAACAAAUUUGUACUGAGGCAUAGAGCCACUGCCAACAACAUAUGUUUGUUUUUUUAUCAUCUGAAUUAUUUUCUCGCUUUAAGAGGAAUGAGUUCAUGAACUAUUGUCUCCAAGACUUGUUGGAGAGUGAAAUAUAUUGUGUGUGAGCAGUUUUAUUUGACCUCCAUGACAAUAAUUUGAAUUGAAAUCUCCAUUCUGUGGAAUUCAAUGGUCUGAUUGCCUUGUUAUUUAGUGUGAAUGGAUUUUUUUUACCAUUAAUUUAUUGGGAAUGUGAGCUUUUCUGUUUAAUAUUAUACAUAUUCUGUACAUUAAAGUAUUGUUUCCAUCCAUGUGCCAAGUUUUGAUAAAAUCAGCUGGUCUGUGAUUUUAAAGUACUAUGUAAAACUUGUAGAUUAUUUGAUUAUGAUUAUGAUGAUGACAUAAUAAAAUGAGAAAAACAACAUG